UACAGAGGGUGCAAGCGUUAAUCGGAUUUACUGGGCGUAAAGCGUGCGCAGGCGGUUAUAUAAGACAGUUGUGAAAUCCCCCGGGCUUAACCUGGGAACUGCAUUUGUGACUGCAUAGCUAGAGUACGGUAGAGGGGGAUGGAAUUCCGCGUGUAGCAGUGAAAUGCGUAGAUAGUGCGGAGGAACACCGAUGGCGAAGGCAAUCCCCUGGACCUGUACUGACGCUCAUGCACGAAAGCGUGGGACAACAGGAU
rnacentral:rRNA from 1 species